AGGUUCCUUCGACGCAGACUGCACAAUCAUAGCAGCACCAGGUGUGUAAUUUUCAAAUCACACAAAUGUUCUUGUCACACGAGUAGAAGUGUCAAUCCUAAAAACGAGAAUACAACCAAAUGAUGAAGCUCAACAGGAAGUGCAGACUCGGUCUAUUCCUGAUCCAAGGGAGGUUGCAGGAUGUCUGUUGCAUAUGUUGCUCCAACAAAGUCGUCCUAUGCUAUGUCUCAUCCUUUGGCAUAUCAUCAUGAGGAUGUGAAUUCCACAGGAAGGCCCAUGUGAUCCUAUUGCUCCCUUAGAUCUUCCACAUUUUUUACAGUCUUUCCACCGUG